rnacentral:misc_RNA from 1 species
UCCCAUUUUAGUAUAAAAAAUAUAUAUAUUUUAUACAUUUAAUUUAUAAUUAUAAAUUUUAAGUCAAUAUAUUUUAGUAUGAGGUAUCCUCUUCUUCCACAGUAGCAUUUUCCUCAAGUAGGACGGCAUAGUCUUCGCUUCUGUCUCUCUAUGUUGCUGCUAACAAUCAUGUAUUACAGACAAAACAUGCUUUGGAAUUACCGUCAUGAUGGCUAUCCUUCGGUGUUUCUAAUCCUUCCAAUUUCGUUUCUAGUUUCUCCAGGUCAUCCAAUUCCUGGGAAUCUUUUUAUUCUCUGCCUCCUGUAAUAAUAUAGUAAAUGACAAGUUCAAGGACUGGCGUUUCUUUUUUCUCACUUAGCCACUUUCAUUCCCUUUUCCUCUCCAAAACUUUCUUGGGAACCAAACAUCUUCAUCAGCCAUGCGAAGUUCAAGUAAUUCGUGUGGUAUAGAUCAUUAUCCUGUAAUGUAUGUUCACUCAAUUCCUGAGGCAGGCAGGCUUCUCCCUUCGGCAAGCCAAUGGAACUCCAUAGAACUUGACUUCCAUCUAGUCCCAAAAUCCAACACUGCCUACGAUUCAAUUCCCUCUCAGUACUCUAAAUCCUUCGAUUGUGAACUUGUUAUUACUGAUAGGGACUACUUUAAGCGAUUUCUUUACGUUUCACUUGCUAUUGUUUUUGUUAUCUUAGCACUUGUUCUACUAGUUCACUUCUUGCCCCACAAGCAUAAUCACCAUGGGAAUUCGAAGAAUCUCACACUUGCCUUGAACCAAGCCCUGAUGUUCUUCGAUGCUCAGAAGUCUGGGAAUUACCCAAGUAAUAGUCCAGUGAAAUUCAGAGGAAAUUCAGGUUUGAAAGAUGGGGAUUCUCUACCCGGAAGCCUUGUGGGUGGCUUUUAUGAUUCUGGGAACAAUAUCAAAUUCAGUUUCCCUACAGCUUAUACUGUUACCCUCUUGAGUUGGACUGUGAUCGAGUAUCAUGAGAAAUAUGCUGAUAUAGGUGAGCUUGAUCAUGUCAAGGACAUUAUCAGGUGGGGCAGCGAUUACUUACUUGAGGUUUUCGCUCCCCAGAAUUCAUCUUCCAUUACACUAUAUUCUCAGGUUGGAACUGGCAAUAGCACCCAAGUCGAUAACGAUAUAAGUUGCUGGCAAAGACCUGAAGACAUGAGCUAUAAAAGACCUUUUUCAGCUUGUGAUGGCACAGCUUCUGAUCUAGCAGGAGAAAUCAUGGCAGCAUUAUCAGCAGCAUCAAUAGUAUUCCAAGAAGAUACUGCUUAUUCACGAAGACUAAUCCAAUCUGCAAAGAUUUUGUUUGAUGUUGCAACUAAGAAUGAAUCAGAUCACGUACAAGGAACUUACACUGCUGUUGAUACUUGUGGAGGAGAGGCAAGAAUGUUUUACAACUCAUCUGGCUACAAAGAUGAACUGAUAUGGGGAGGAACUUGGUUGUUCUUUGCUACUGGCGAUGUUUCUCACCUCAGAUAUGCUACCAAUCAUUUUGGUGCAGCGGAGGAAGAGGAAACAAUAUCAGAGAAAGGAGUUUUCUAUUGGAACAACAAGCUUACUGCCACUGCGGUAAUUCUGAUAGAAACUUCUACAAGGUUGAGAAAAUAUUUAAUUUGUGAAUUUGAUGUGUGGAUAGUAUAAAAACCUUGAAGAAACCUUGCAGGUUUUGCUAACAAGACUUCUAUACUUUCACGAUAUGGGAUAUCCCUAUGAGGAUGGUUUAGGAUCUUCAUCAGAUGAAACCAACUUGCUCAUAUGUUCCUAUCUUUCUCAGGAAACCUUCAACAGAACACCAGGUGGAUUGAUCCUCUUAAGUCCCAAUAACAGCGAACCAAUCCAAUUUGCUGCUACAGCAUCUUUCCUCAGUAAAUUAUAUAGCGACUAUCUUGAACUCACACGCAGUUCGGGUUUGACUUGCAGCAGUGAUAAUUUUUCCCUUGAAAUGUUGCGAAAUUUCGCCAUGUCUCAGGUAAAUUACAUCCUAGGGGACAAUCCUAUGAAGAUGAGCUACAUGGUUGGCUUUGGGAACAAAUAUCCAACCCAAGUUCAUCACAGGGCUGCAUCAAUCCUUUGGGAUGAUAGGCACUACACUUGUGAAGAGGGAAACAGAUGGCUGUACUCCAAAGAUGGAAAUCCAAAUAUUCUUUAUGGAGCCAUGGUUGCAGGACCAGAUCAAAAUGAUAAUUUCUUGGAUAAAAGGGACAGACCACAGUUCACUGAGCCAAGCAUAGCAGGCAAUGCAGGUCUAGUUGCAGCUCUCAUUGCCCUUCAUGAUCCACCACCUAAUCCUCCUGAUUCAAAUGGCUUUAGUUUGGGCAUAGAUCAAAAUGGCAUAUUUGAAAAGAUUCAUAAGCCUCCUCCAGCUCCUUGAGAGUCUUACAAUUUAGAACGGGAAAAAAUGAAGGAAUUAAAAGAAGAAAAUUGAACAGAUGAGAAACUCUGAUUGCUAAUGGUUUGGUGAAUAAUUGAGUUCGAACAACUGUUUUCCAGGAUAUUUAGCUUUCUUCACUUUCAUACUUUCAAUUGAAUGUUCCAGGUAAAAUAUGGGGGAAGCUCAGAAAAUUUUUAUAGCUAAGUACCACAAGUGUUCUAACAAUGAGGCUGCUGCAAUUGAAAAUGCACAUUACACCUUUCACAAAUAUUUCUGUAACAUGAGACACAGAAAUAGCAUCUUCUCCUAGGAUAUAACCUUUCUUCUCUUCAUUAGAAAGAACUCCAAGAUUUUCCUUUUUCUAAGAGUUAUGAGUGCCAUUGACUGGUUUCACUUCAUUAGGCCUCUGAAUAACAUUGUAAUCAAUAUAAAUUACAGCAUUUUUACUUGGUUAGCCUACCAAGUCUCACGAAAAUGCAUUUUGUUCAGAGCAGAGGAUGAUGUGGUCACCAGACUUUUGUAUGAGAAACGAAAAAUUAGUUCCCACACCAAAUUCUCCAUGUAGCUAUUCAUAGAAUUCAUAUUUACACUAAAAGGAAAUGAAGUUGAAGAAAACUAUAGGUUUUGUAUAAAAAAAAACUUUGCACGUAUGUUGUGCUUUGAUUCUGUGUUUUCUCCUUAGGUAGACUUCAGCUUAUCCAACCUGUACAAUGUCAGAAUAGAGUAAAUCUCUUCUAGAACAGGAACAAGUAGUGAAAUGAAGGUUUCCAUAUCCUCUGUAAGUGUGUCAUUGUUUUCAUCUUUUGGCUUAAGGAGAUCAAUGAAGGUUUUGGUAUCAGGAAUUAAUUUAAGAGCCACCUGCAAUAACUAUCUGUGAGUUCAAGAUUUCAGUAACUAAGAAUUCACCUGGUCAUGACUCAUGACGGAUGCACUUGCUUAAGUUCUUUGUUCUUGAUGUUUAAUAUCUAAUAUCUAGCAUUUUGCGUAAGUUCUGAAGUGGGAUUUACUUUAUAGGAUUGAUCCUAAUCUUAGUUCAAAACUAAAACCAUUAGAGUAAAAAAAAAUUGCCAGAGGUGGAUAGAUAGAAGGAAAUAGGUACAAUUACUCUAUAUGCAGCAGAUGAAAUCCAUCCAUGCCAAGGCUUCAGAGUGAUAUUGUAAGACUCUUUCACAGCUUCCUCCAUUUCCUGACCAGGAUCCUUCACUAUUCUUUGUAACAAAGCAACAGUAAAAUCCAAGGAUCUGGGAAGCAAAUUGAAUUUCUUUUUGACUUAAAAUUAACCUUGAUCAGCUGCUACAAAUUUGCAUAAUUAAUCUAUAUAUGCCCUUGCAGAAACAGUCAGAAUAAUAAUAUUUGUAAUCCAAUAAUUUAAAAGGUUGAAGCACAUGAGUACAUUAUUAUCGGCCAUUAAAUAAGCCAAAGGAAGAGGAAUAUGCAUGAGAGGCAACCUAUAACUUGUUUGUUUAAUUGGAAAUAAUGUUAAUGACACACUAAACUAAGUUGAAACCAUGUUCAAUAUGCUUACCUGGUGAGCCAAACGAAGGCUUUACUACAGCUGGUUCCUUUUCUUGCAUUGCCAUCAUCGGCCUCUUUCUUCAAAAUAUCAACCAAAUUUGAGUAUAGAGAAGAAUCAGAAUCGCAUUGCAUCUCUAUUCUCUGUGGACAAGACAAAAAAAAGAAAGUUUAAAAAAGAGAAGAGCAAGAAAAUGACAAAUUUCGGACAUAGACAGAUAUGUCCAUAGACUGAUUGAAACAACGAAACCAGGAAAGCUUAAGUUGUUGACAUGUCAUGGGGGCGUUUUUGUCAUGAAAGAAAGCCAUUUUCUUCUUUUACCUUAACAUUCUGGUUGAUGUCUUGUCUCAAAACUGCCAUUGUUGGGCCUAUCUUAUCUUCAUAAGGACAAACGUAAAAACCAGAAAUUGAAGCUGAUGUUCUCAAGUGAAAAAGAUAUGGAGAUACAAGAAAAAAGGGUAGAAAAGAAACUGACCAAGAACUUGAAUAACCAAAUUGCAGACAUAUAAAAAUGGCCUUGUGGGUAUAUAAGCAGCAUCAUGAUUAUCACUAGUUUUGAGCUGGAUCAGCAAGGAAAGCUCUUCAAUGGCAUAUUUUAUCUCUGACCCCUUCUCCGUUUCUCUUUUUCUCUUCAUCUCCAGGAUUCUUGUAUCUUCUUAAUUAUUACAUAUAUAACUAACUGGGUUUCUUUAAUAGCUUUGAAAUUGUGCUUGCACUCUCUUGAGAGAAAUUUGGCAGCCGACUGCCGUCUACUAAGAAAGGAGACUCUGAUUUGGUAACUUCUUGAAAUGUUUUAACUUUUAUACAUCAGAUUUUUCUUUU